AAGCAAAGUCCUCCUCCAGCUCUGUCAUUCUACAGUGGAAGUAUAUUGGGUCGAGUGAACUCAGGUGUGUGGCUGGAUAGCCCUGCGGUAGCUGUCAGAGAUGGGUUUUUUGCCAAUAUCUGGUAACUUCAUUAUGUACUUCUGUGCCCAAAGCAUCCCUAUGUGGUGCCUGGGGUUUUGGAUAGGUCUGUUGUGGUGCGGCUGAGCUAACAUUUCCUCAGGAAGAUUGCUUUCAAGUUUCUGAGCUUUCAGAUUUCCUUCCUAUGGCUUCAUAUUGAGCUAGUUUAAGGGAGUUUUGGGAUUCCUGUUCUCAAGCUGCUGUUUUGAAAGUCCAGAAAAGGAAAACAUUCUGCCCUGAAUGAAGGAAUGCUGGCUAACAGUGGAACUUGUCCUGUAUCCAUUUGGAGGCUAUGAAAAAGUGGAUUUUAAAUCUAUUUACAGUAGAAAGUGUGAUAAGAGAGUGUGAAUGCCAAUACAGGCAAUCAUUCCUUGUACCGGGUGAUGAACCUAUUUGUUUGUUUUCAGAUUAUGCUGAAUCAAUCAUGUGAACUUCUCCUCCAGAAGCACAAACUGUAAUUUUGCUCACCUUUAGUGUCUCCCUUAAUUGUGGAAGUUGUGGGUUUCUGUGCUUAUGACGAGGUGUUAAUGCAACUGGUGUAAACAUGUCUGUUUUCGAAGCUGCUCUGAAAGCGGGCAACCCAAGCGUUAAUGAAUUAGAUCACCCAGUAGCCUCAAGUUAUUUAAGAAGGCCUGCUAAUUUCACUUUGUGGCAGUUGCGCACUGUUGCAAUCCUGGCUGUGGCACAUUCUCUUCAAAAAUAAUGCCCUCAGCUAGUGGUGCUUCUGCCUGACAGCCAAAAACAAGAGCAAAUGGGGUGUUGGAAUCUACAUCUUCCCUGGUUUCUAAA